rnacentral:rRNA from 1 species
UACAGGGGGGGCAAGCGUUGUUCGGAAUUACUGGGCGUAAAGGGCUCGUAGGUGGCCGACUAAGUCAGACGUGAAAUCCCUCAGCUUAACUGGGGAACUGCGUCUGAUACUGGAUGGCUUGAGUUUGGGAGAGGGAAGCGGAAUUUCCGGUGUAGCGGUGAAAUGCGUAGAUAUCGGAAGGAACACCAGUGGCGAAAGCGGCUUCCUGGUCCAGCACCGACGUUCAGGCACGAAAGCGUGGGGAGCAAACAGG